UGAGGUGGUGGGAUCUGUCGUGACUGUUCAAACCCCUUAUUUUUAAAAGGGAAGAAAUGCGGGGGGAGGAGGAAGAAGAGACAGAAAUGAGAUGCUGACACUGAGGAGUCGCAGGGAGACAUCAACAAUCGGUGCCUAUAGACCACAUCAAAGCACUGCAGAGCAACAAUGAAAUGCCUUGAAAUACUUCUUAAUGCAAUGUUUGCAUUGGGCAAGUCCACAGAUGACGCCGAAUUUGCCAUCACAAGAGAAAGAAAGCUGCAGAUGAGGUUUAACCAACAUUUCUCUGAAACCCGACUAUAGAGGGAAAAGAGAGGAAGGGAGAGGGAGAGAUUUUUAUAAUCCUGAAAGGCAAGAGGAGAAACCACAUCAACGCAAAGCAGAAGAAAUCCCUGCGAGGUGUGCAGCUCACACGGGGAAAAAAAAAAAAAAAAAAAAAAAGGACCACCUCCUGGGACACAGACACAGAAGAAGUUCCUCCUGCCAGCCCAGAAUUUCGACCUGAGAGAGCCCAGUCCCCGGCAGCUUUCUGGUUACUAGAAACUAAUAAAAACAGUAUUAGAAGCUAAUAAAAUCUUGCUUAAUAAUAAA